CUACUACUGUGCUACAAGUGGAGCCAUAUAGGGGAAACGAGCAGCCAUCUCAGGAGCAAGGUGUAUGCUGCCUUUGGGGGCUCCAGUCCUUGCCUCAAGGGUCUUAUGUCACUGUGGGCUUCUUGGUUGCCAAGAGGCAGACCAUAGGCCGUCUUGAGAAGGACUUUAUGUUCAAGUGCAGAAAGCAGCCAGGAUUACCACCCUCGGGACUCUGCCUUCUGUGGCCCUGGCCAAACUUAGAAUUUGGCCGUAGACAGGACAAGCUCACUUGGAGUAGCGUGUCUGUAGCUGGGGUCUGUGCAUGCCAGGCAAGGCCAAGCUGGCUCAAAGAGCAACCAGCCACCUCUGCAAGGGUGCACCUAGAGCAGGUGGAGCAGCCACCAGCUCACCCACUCCAGGAAGCCGGGGUAGCCAGGUUCCCAAAGCCUGAGUGGGUGCCACCUAAUGGCUGAAGAAACAGAGGCCUUAGGAAAACCAGAUGGCACUGUGGCCCUACCUUUAUGGUAGAAGAGCUGAUUUAGCCUGACUGGCAGCGUGUGAGGUUGAUGGCUGGUCUGCCUGCUGCUGGCACAUCCGUGCAAAGAUAGCUGGUUGCCCUUUGAGCCAGCUUGCCCUUGCCCAGCAUGCACAAGCCUCAGUGCAACAACUGUGCUGCAAAUGGGGCCAUAUAGAGGAAAGGAGCAGCUGGCUCUGGAACAUGGUGUGCACUCCCUUUGGGCCUUCAGUCCAUGUCUCAUGGGUCGUAUGACACUGCGGGCUUGUUGGUUGCCAAGAGGCAGACCACAGGUCAUCUUGAGGAGGACUUUAUGUUCCAGUCCAGAAAGCAGCCAGUGGUACCACCCAGGGGACUUGUGCUUCUGUGGCCCAGGCCAGACGUAGAAUUUGACAAAGUCAGGACGGUCUCAGUCAGAGCAGCAUGUCGGUCCCCGGGGCCUGUGCAUGCCAGGCAAGGCCAAGCUGGCUUAAAGAGCAAGCAGCCACCUCUGUUAAGGGUGUGCCUGGAGCAGGUGGAGCAGCCACCAACCUCACCCACUGAAAGAAGCAGGGAUGGCCAGGUUCCAACAUCCUGGGUGGCUGCCAGCUGAUGGAGCAGAGGCCUGAGGAAAAGCAGAUGGCACUGCUUUGUGGUGCUCUUCUUUGUCUCUCUUGAUCUUUUUCAGUUAAUGUCUGUUUUAUCAGAGACUAGGAUUGCAAACCCUGCUCUUUUUUGCUUUCCAUUUGCUUGGUAAAUAUUCCUCCAUCCCUUUAUUUUAAGCCUAUGUGUGUCUUUGCACAUGAGAUGGGUCUCCUGAAUACAGGACAACAAUGGGUCUUUACUCUUUAUCCAACUUGCCAGUCUGUGUCUUUUAACUGGGGCAUUUAGCCCAUUUACAUUUAAGUUUAGUAUUGCUACAGGUGAAAUUUAUCCUGUCAUGAUGUUGCUAGCUUUUUAUUUUUCCCAUUAGUUUGCAGUUUCUUUAUAGUGUCAAUGGUCUUUACAAUUCGAUAUGUUUUUGUAGUGGCUGGUACUGGUUUUUCCUUUCUACGUUUAGUGUCUCCUUCAGGAGCUCUUGUAACACAAGAAUGUGGAUUUAUUUCUUGUAAGGUAAAUAUGUGGAUUUAUUUCUUGGGACUGUAUUCUAUGGCCUUUACCCCAAGAAUCAUUACUUUUUAAAAUGCAAUUCAAAUUAGCAUAAAACAUUUACAGCCUAUGGAAAGGCUUGUGGCAUUAGAAUCCUUAUUUAUAGGAUUAUUUUGUGUUUUUUUGAGAUAUGGUCUUUGUCAUCGAGGCAGAAGUGCCGUGGUUUGAUCAUAAUUCACCACAGCCCUGAACUCUUGAGUGCAAGCCAUCCUUUUGCCUUAAUCUCCCAACCAGUUGGAUCUACAAGCAUAAGGCAUCAUGCGUGGCUAAUUUUUUCACGUUUUUUUUUUUUUUUUUUUUUUUUUGUCGAGAUUAUGGUAUCACUAUGUUGCUCUGGCUGAUCUCAAAUGUUUGACCUCAAGGGAUCUUUCUGCCACAGCCUCCUUAAGUGCUAGGAUUAUAUGCAUGAUACACCAUGCCUAUUGUAGAGUAUUACAUUAUUUUCAAAGUCUUAUUGUAAGAGCCAUUUAUUGCCUUUGGCCUAAAUAACUCAAUAUAAUAUCUCUGAAACUUUUUUUUGACAAAUUUUGGGGCAUGAUGAUGAGAGAAGGGGGUUUGAAACUUUCUAAUAAGAGUUAACUUAGAGCCAUUUAAGAAAGGAAAAAACACAAAUUAUCAGAAAAACAAAAGUAAGAUCAAGUGCAAAAGUUCUGUGGCAAAGAUGAUGAGAGUAAAGAAUAUAUGUUUGUGACUCAUGGUGGCUUUUACUUUGUUCUUGCAUUUCUGAGUACGGGUUAACAUUUAAAGAAUCUACAUUAUAGAUAACAUUUUAUUGCAAGUAAAUGUAUUUCAAAAUUUGUUAUUGGUUUUGUAUGAGAUUAUUCUCAGCCUACUUCAUUAUCAAGCUAUAUUAUUUUAUUAAUGUAGUUCGAUGAUCUUACAGCAAAGCUGAAAGCUGUAUCUUCAAAAUAUGUCUAUUUGACUAAAAAGAAGUUAUUCAACAGGAGUUAUUAUCUAUGAAAAAAAUACAACAGGAAUAUAAAAAACUUGAAGAGGAUAAGAAGAUGUUGGAAAAAGUAAUAUUAAAUCUUAAAAAACAUAUGGAAAGUACACAUUGGUGAAGACACAUUGGUGAAGUACAAAAAUAUAAAUUGGAUCUAGAAGAAAGGGCAAUUCAGGCAAUAGAAAAAUUAGUAGAAAUCCCUUUAAAGGUUAGUUUGUAAAAUCAGGUAAGUUUAUUUAUAAUUUGCUUUCAUUUAUUUCACUGCAAAUUAUAUUUUGGAUAUAUAUAUAUAUUGUGCUUCCUCUGCCUGUCUUACAGCAAUUUGCCUUGCAGAGUUCUAGGAAAAAGGUGGCAUGUGUUUUUACUUUCAAAUAUUUAAAUUUCCAUCAUUCUAACAAAAUCAAUUUUUCAGAGUAAUGAUUCUCACUGUGGAGUCAUUUGAUUAUUAAGACCCGUUGGCAUAAGAUUACAUCCUCUGACUAUAAAAAUCCUGGAAGAAAACCUAGGAAAUAUUCGUCUGGACUUUGCACUUGGCAAUGAAUUUAUGGGCGCUUUGGAAUCCUGCAGAUAUAAUAAUGAUAAUUAAACAAAACACUCAGAGAAACUGCCAACCCUAGGAUGAAGUAUAUUGUUACUGUGCUUUGGGAUUAAAAUAAGUAACUACAGUUUAUAGAACUUUUAUACUGAUACACAGACACUAAAAAGGGAAAGGGUUUAGAUGAGAAGCUCUGCUGUGCAAUCAAGAAUCUCAGCCACUCAUUUCUGUAGGGGCUGCAGGAGCUCCCUGUAAAGAGAGGUUAUGGAGUCUGUAGCUUCAGGUAACCACUGAUCCACUUCCAGUCACUAUCCAUGAGUUUUUAUUUCCAAAUACAUGAAAUCAUAUGAAUUUCUGGUUUUUCCUGUUGGAGCCCAAGGAGCAAGGGCAGAAUGAGGAACAUGAUGUUUCUUACCGACAGUUACUCAUGACGUCUCCAUCCAGGACUGAGGGGGGCAUCCUUCUCCAUCUAGGACUGGGGGCAUCCUUCUCCAUCCAGUAUUGGGGGUCUUCCUCCUCCAUCCAGGACUUGGGGGUCAUCCUCCUCCAUCCAGGACCUGAGGGGUGUCCUUUUCUGCGCUUCCUUGGAUGGCAGUCUUUCCCUUCAUGUUUAUAGUGACUUACCAUUAAAUCACUGUGCCGUUUUUUCCUAAAA